rnacentral:rRNA from 1 species
CCUACGGGAGGCAGCAGUGGGGAAUAUUGGGCACUGGGCGCAAGCCUGACCCAGCAACGCCGCGUGAAGGAAGAAGGCUUUCGGGUUGUCACCUUCUUUUCUCAGGGACGAAGCAAGUGACGGUACCUGAGGAAUAAGCCACGGCUAACUACGUGCCAGCAGCCGCGGUAAUACGUAGGUGGCAAGCGUUAUCCGGAUUUACUGGGUGUAAAGGGCGUGUAGGCGGGGACGCAAGUCAGAUGUGAAAACCACGGGCGCAACCUGUGGCCUGCAUUUGAAACUGUGGUUGUUGAGUACUGGAGAGGCAGACGGAAGUCCUAGGGUAGCGGGGAAAGGCGUAGAUAUUAGGAGGAACACCAGUGGCGAAGGCGGUCUGCUGGACAGCAACUGACGCUGAGGCGCGAAAGCGUGGGGAGCAAACAGGAGUAGAUACCCUUGUAGUC